rnacentral:rRNA from 1 species
GAUGAACGCUGGCGGCGUGCCUAAUACAUGCAAGUCGAGCGAACGGACGAGAAGCUUGCUUCUCUGAUGUUAGCGGCGGACGGGUGAGUAACACGUGGAUAACCUACCUAUAAGACUGGGAUAACUUCGGGAAACCGGAGCUAAUACCGGAUAAUAUUUUGAACCGCAUGGUUCAAUAGUGAAAGACGGUCUUGCUGUCACUUAUCGAUGGAUCCGCGCUGCAUUAGCUAGUUGGUAAGGUAACGGCUUACCAAGGCAACGAUGCAUAUCCGACCUGAGAGGGUGAUCGGCCACACGGGAAGUGAGACACGGUCCAGGCUCCUACGGGAGGCAGCAGUAGGGAAUCGUCCGCAAUGGGCGAAAGCCUGACGGAGCAACGCCGCGUGAGUGAUGAAGGUCUUCGGAUCGUAAAACUCUGUUAUUAGGGAAGAACAUAUGUGUAAGUAACUGUGCACAUCUUGACGGUACCUAAUCAGAAAGCCACGGCUAACUACGUG